CAAUAGCGUAUAUUAAAGUUGUUGCAGUUAAAAAGCUCGUAGUUGGAUUUCUGGUUGGAUGCCCUGGCCCGCUGCCAUUUUGGUAGUGUGUGCCGGUUGUGCGUCUGCCAUCCUUCUAGGGAACGUUCCUUCUCUUCACUGAGCCGGGUUCGUGAUCUAGAUCGUUUACUUUGAAAAAAUUAGAGUGUUUAAAGCAGGCGAUCGCUUGAAUACAUUAGCAUGGAAUAAUAGAAUAGGACUUUGGUUCUAUUUUGUUGGUUUCUAGGACCGAAGUAAUGAUUAAUAGGGACAGUUGGGGGCAUUAGUAUUUAAUUGUCAGAGGUGAAAUUCUUGGAUUUAUGAAAGACUAACUACUGCGAAAGCAUUUGCCAAGGAUGUUUUCAUUAAUCAAGAACGAAAGUUAGGGGAUCGAAGAUGAUCAGAU
rnacentral:rRNA from 1 species